CAUCAAAGCGUCGUGGCAGAUUUCCCUUUGGAAGUCAGAGCCUGUUUCAAACGUCUCUUCAAGUCCUGCAUAUUUGGGGACUUGGGCCGGACGAGGUGGAGGCCUCUUCGUUUCUCUCCGUUGCAGCUCCCGAUCAUCCUGCUGACCUCCUGGCAGAGCUGCUGGAAGGCUUCAUGCACUCCCUCGCAGUUCUCCCGGGCUGAGACUUCGUAGCAGACACCCCUCUAACCACUGGGGAAUCUACCAGGGACAGGAGAAAUCUCCACUGUGACAGUAACGUGAUGACAGGCAUCAGAGAAAAUGGAAAUGGAAACUGAAGCUGUGGGAGCUUUGCUUAUUCUGUUCUGGAAGCUCAGGGUGGAAGAGUUCUACGGCACAGAAAUGAGCCCAUGUUUGAUGGGGACAAGAGUGUACCUAAUUUUAUCAUGAAAUCUCUGCUAUUCUCUGGGAAUUAUUUCUCUCGUGAGAUUUCCACCAUUCAUGUAAAAACAAACUUCACUACAUUUCCUGCUGCUUUGACAUUAUUUUUAUGCUCUUGUUCUGUAUGUGAAGCAGAUCUUCAAAAAAGAUAUCUUAAUCUUAGAUCCUGCUUGGAAAGAUAUUUCUAGAAACAGGUUCCUAGUCAAAUAUUAAAUCUAGAACACGGAUAGAGAAAGGGGUAUAGAUAAAUGUUCACACCUUUAAUAUAAGGAAUGAAUGAAAUAACAAUAAAAUAAAUAAAUAAAUUAAAGAGACCACUGAAAAACACCCUGUCUGGAAACAACAACUGCUGUAAGGCCUGUUCCUUUGGAAAGAAACACCUUUCUAGAGAAGAAAGAUUCUGGAUGUGUAGAUAGGUCUAAGCUGAGCCAGCUGGUCUCGUAGGCAGGUGAGUCUUCUGCCAUGCAACGACAGAAACCAUUUGACAGGAAAUAAAACAAUAAAGGAGUUGGCAGGAGUGAGCCAGACUAUGAUUUUACAGCUCUUUAGGCUUCAGAGGCAGUAAUGUGUUUUAAAUAGAUUUGUUUUAAUUCACUCUUAAAGGAGCCUGAUUUAAGCUCUUCAAGGGCUCAUUUUGGCAGGGCUUAAGGUACCCCUGUUAGUACUCAUUUAGAUUUGAGCCCAAGUGUGUUUCUGCAAAGCGGAGUUACAGAAGUGCUGGCAACAAACAAGAGACAGUAACUGUGCUGUAAGGACCCAUGCACUGAGCAGAUGUUUUACCUCCAGUGAAACAAAGGGAGUAUCCUGCACCUGUAGAGAGAUCUGUUCCCCAUCUAUGGUGAACUUCCUUGAAUACAAAGCACCUGGUGAAAAAGUAAGAUCAUAGGAGUCAGUGAUUAUAACAAGAAAGAGAACAUAAAGGUAAAAUGAAAGUGUUGAAAUCCAGACUUUGAGGCUUCUGAUACGUACCUGCUUAUAGAGAACUGGACGGCAGCAGAGCGGUUGUGUGGCUGUUUACUUCAGUAAAGCAGUUUUGUAUUUGUUGUGUGGUUGGAGGUUUUGGAUGUAUACCUAGGGUGGUAUCUGGGAAAGGUGGCACCUUGUGUUGAAUUAAAUAGUCAAACUGGGCGCAUAAAUCCCAUUUGGGGUUUCAGUCCAUAUUUUUAACCUCUUAAAAUGUGAACUGCAUAUAUUUUUAAUCUUAAACCAAGAUUAAAGGCGUUGCCUGUAAAAGGACUGAUCUGUUUCCUCUUCCUAUUCUUGGAAAGUUUUUAAAAAAGAAAUGUAUUCCAGUUUUGGACACAGAGUGACUGUACAUGAAACACCCAGAUGCUGUUUGGGAUUUGUGUGACCUUAGCAGUAAGGGGUUGGUUGAAAUCCCCAAU